GGCCCUGAGCUGCAGCUCUCCCUGCAUUUCAAAGCAGGGCCAGAACUCAGCUGAGGAGGCAGCGGCUCAGAGCGUGGCUGCUGAUCCACCCUGACAUCCAGCUGUGCCCGGGGCUCUCACAGCCUGGGCAGGCCCUUCCAGCUCCUCUCCAUCCCCCUGGCACCUCCUCGUGCCCUGCUCGUGUCCCACUUUCCAGAGGGACUUGGAUCCUUUUGUUCCCCGGGCUGGAAAGGGCAGUUCUGCCCUGCCCACCCGUCCCAGCCUGUCCUGCCCUCGCUCUUCCUCACCCCACCAGGGUUGUACCACUGAUCUGCAGCACUGGGAGCUUCUCCCAGAGCUUCUCCCACCCAGAUCCCCCUGCAAAUCCCUGGCUGUCACUCCUUAUCCAGGACAAUCCUGUGGUGCACAUGUCCAGUUGAAUCAGAGGCUUUUGGAGCUGCCCUGUGCAGGGUGAAUCCCAGAAAUACUCAUUUAUGUCCCUGCAAAACCUAAAAGGAGCUGCAUUUACCUCUUUUUUUUUUUUUUUUUGGGGGAUGAACUGGCUCAUCCCUAGUUCUGAUUCAUACAAUGGUUUCAAGGUCAGAUUUUGUUCUGACCUGCGUAGCACAGGCCAUAAAAUUUCGCCUGGAUAAUCUGGAAUGAAACCAGGAAUUUAUGUUUGUCCAAACAGAUUCCAGCCUUUAUAUAAUGCUGUCUUGGUUGUUGUUUUUGAAUGACUCCAGCAAGUCAUCACUGAGGUUUUUCAGCUUGAAUAAGUAACAAAAUUGAUGAUAAUUAUUUCCAAAUGUCCUCUCGGGCUCGGCCAAGUGCUUUCAAAAUUAUUCACUCAACCGCGUGGUGAUUUCGUUGGAAAAAUCUGUCGGAUUUCUUAACCUAACAAGAAAUGAAUCCUUCAGCCAGCCUUGCCCAUGUGCUCCACAUGUGAGCUCCAAUUCAUUCUUUGCUUCACAUCUGCACUUCCCAGAGGCUUCAAAAUGCCAUUUUUGCCGUGCAGAAAAGACAAGAAUUGUACAAAAUGUCCAUUUUAGAAUGGCAAAGGAGAGAGGGAGGUGGCGUGUCCAUGCUGGGGGUUUCCAAAUGCCAUUUUUGCUGUGCAGAAAAGACAGGAAUUGCACAAAAUGUCCAUGGUGGAAUGGCAAAGGAGAGAGGGAAGCGGUGUGUCCGUGCUGGAGGGAAACAAGGAGUGGAUUAGAAAAUAAUAUGCAAAUAUUUCAAAACUUGAGAUGCCCUCUCAAUAUUUUAGGAUAAGCACUGAGCCUUGCAGCCAAUUAUUCCAUGAUUUGGGAUGAUUUUAAAGGAGCAGUGACCCGAAA